rnacentral:rRNA from 1 species
GAUGAACGCUGGCGGCGUGCCUAAUACAUGCAAGUCGAGCGAACGGACGAGAAGCUUGCUUCUCUGAUGUUAGCGGCGGACGGGCGAGUAACACGUGGAUAACCUACCUAUAAGACUGGGAUAACUUCGGGAAACCGGAGCUAAUACCGGAUAAUAUUUUGAACCGCAUGGUUCAAAAGUGAAAGACGGUCUUGCUGUCACUUAUAGAUGGAUCCGCGCUGCAUUAGCUAGUUGGUAAGGUAACGGCUUACCAAGGCAACGAUGCAUAGCCGACCUGAGAGGGUGAUCGGCCACACUGGAACUGAGACACGGUCCAGACUCCUACGGGAGGCAGCAGUAGGGAAUCUUCCGCAAUGGGCGAAAGCCUGACGGAGCAACGCCGCGUGAGUGAUGAAGGUCUUCGGAUCGUAAAACUCUGUUAUUAGGGAAGAACAUAUGUGUAAGUAACUGUGCACAUCUUGACGGUACCUAAUCAGAAAGCCACGGCUAACUACGUGCCAGCAGCCGCGGUAAUACGUAGGUGGCAAGCGUUAUCCGGAAUUAUUGGGCGUAAAGCGCGCGUAGGCGGUUUUUUAAGUCUGAUGUGAAAGCCCACGGCUCAACCGUGGAGGGUCAUUGGAAACUGGAAAACUUGAGUGCAGAAGAGGAAAGUGGAAUUCCAUGUGUAGCGGUGAAAUGCGCAGAGAUAUGGAGGAACACCAGUGGCGAAGGCGACUUUCUGGUCUGUAACUGACGCUGAUGUGCGAAAGCGUGGGGAUCAAACAGGAUUAGAUACCCUGGUAGUCCACGCCGUAAACGAUGAGUGCUAAGUGUUAGGGGGUUUCCGCCCCUUAGUGCUGCAGUUAGCGCAUUAAGCACUCCGCCUGGGGAGUACGACCGCAAGGUUGAAACUCAAAGGAAUUGACGGGGACCCGCACAAGCGGUGGAGCAUGUGGUUUAAUUCGAAGCAACGCGAAGAACCUUACCAAAUCUUGACAUCCUUUGACAACUCUAGAGAUAGAGCCUUCCCCUUCGGGGGACAAAGUGACAGGUGGUGCAUGGUUGUCGUCAGCUCGUGUCGUGAGAUGUUGGGUUAAGUCCCGCAACGAGCGCAACCCUUAAGCUUAGUUGCCAUCAUUAAGUUGGGCACUCUAAGUUGACUGCCGGUGACAAACCGGAGGAAGGUGGGGAUGACGUCAAAUCAUCAUGCCCCUUAUGAUUUGGGCUACACACGUGCUACAAUGGACAAUACAAAGGGCAGCGAAACCGCGAGGUCAAGCAAAUCCCAUAAAGUUGUUCUCAGUUCGGAUUGUAGUCUGCAACUCGACUACAUGAAGCUGGAAUCGCUAGUAAUCGUAGAUCAGCAUGCUACGGUGAAUACGUUCCCGGGUCU